rnacentral:rRNA from 1 species
UACGGGGGGGGUAAGCGUUGUUCGGAAUUACUGGGCGUAAAGGGCUCGUAGGCGGCCAACUAAGUCGGACGUGAAAUCCCUCAGCUUAACUGGGGAACUGCGUCCGAUACUGGAUGGCUUGGAUUUGGGAGAGGGAUGCGGAAUUCCAGGUGUAGCGGUGAAAUGCGUAGAUAUCUGGAGGAACACCGGUGGCGAAGGCGGCAUUCUGGACCGAUAUUGACGCUGAGGAGCG